CGCGGCCUAUCAGCUUGUUGGUGAGGUAAUGGCUCACCAAGGCUUCGACGGGUAGCCGGCCUGAGAGGGCGACCGGCCACACUGGGACUGAGAUACGGCCCAGACUCCUACGGGAGGCAGCAGUGGGGAAUAUUGCACAAUGGGCGGAAGCCUGAUGCAGCAACGCCGCGUGCGGGAUGACGGCUUUCGGGUUGUAAACCGCUUUCAGUGGGGACGAAGCUAACGUGACGGUACCUACAGAAGAAGCACCGGCCAACUACGUGCCAGCAGCCGCGGUGAUACGUAGGGUGCGAGCGUUGUCCGGAAUUAUUGGGCGUAAAGGGAUUGUAGGCGGUUCGUCGCGUCGAUGGUGAAAACUCAGGGCUCAACCCUGAGCCUGCUUUCGAUACGGGCGGACUAGAGGUAUGCAGGGGAGAACGGAAUUCCUGGUGGAGCGGUGGAAUGCGCAGAUAUCAGGAGGAACACCGGUGGCGAAGGCGGUUCUCUGGGCAUUACCUGACGCUGAGAAUCGAAAGCGUGGGGAGCAAACAGGCUUGGAUACCCUGGUAGUCCACGCCGUAAACGGUGGGCACUAGGUGUGGGGACAUUCCACGUUCUCCGUGCCGAAGCUAACGCAUUAAGUGCCCCGCCUGGGGAGUACGG
rnacentral:rRNA from 1 species